rnacentral:lncRNA from 1 species
AAAAUGGAAGAUAAGAAUUUUUUUAAAGAGAGAUUAAACUGCUUACUCAAGGUCACAGAGGUAAUAACUGUUGGAGAAGAGAUAAAAAACUAUAUCUUCUCACUCAAGACUAGGACUCUUUUCUUAAAACAUUAAUUGCCUGCUCUGAUUCAUACUACCUCUAUUUUCUUCUUCAAUUCAUAAAAGGAAAGAAUUAGGUCUAGAUUAUUUAGACAUUAUGACAUAAAUUUGGAGCUAAACCUAGAAAAUCAUAUUUUUCUUUCUAAAUUAAGAGGUCUCUCUCAAAAGAUUGGAUUUUUAAAGCAUGUUAUUGUAUGGAUGUCUUGGUAUUCUUUGAUUUUCAGGCACUAUCCUAGGGAAGACCUCAGGAGAGGACAGAACUCAUCCAAAUCUCUACUUAAAAUUCAACCCCUCCCUAAAGCAUUCAGGGAGGCACUUGAGGUUGUUGGAGCCCAGAGAGGAAGGAAGCAGGAAAAAGGGUAAAUCAACAUCUCGAGUACUGGUCCAAGAAAGAUGUGUCUUCGUUUUUUGCAUCCCUGACAUAUAUCACUUGUUGGAGCACUCUCCAUUUUAUGGAGAUCAGAAAAAAUCUGGAGUGGAUCCCAAGAUGGUUCAGUUACUAAUGAUGGUGGCCAUUGAUGAGAACUGGACUUGGGCUUUUCUUGGUUAUUGAGACUGUGGCUCUGAGAUCCCACCUAUAUUUAGAAAAUGCAAAUUUCCCUUAGGGCAUGGACUGUUAUCCCAUCUAGAAGCUUUGCAGAAGAAUCAGAGGAUGGAGGACACUGAAUAGAAGACAAACCAAUGAGCCUAGACCUUAUGAAGAGGCAUUAGUGUAUUUAAAUGGUAGAAUUCCCAUGUGAAAGAAAUUGGGGAUUCUGCUUCCAGCACUAGUAAUGAAGUAUGAAAGUGCCUUGGGGAGAUUAGAAGCAUGUGCAGAUGUCCCCUAACUAAUUCCAGUCUGCUAAUCAUGUGGAGGAGUUUCUUUGAUUAGCUGCAGAACCAUAUCUUAGGGUACACCUAAACAGCAUUUGGCUGACCAGAACUUCAUCCUUCUAUUCAACCUGUUGGUGUUCUAAUGGGUGAAGAGAAACACUGAUGUAAGAUAAGAGGUCUUGGGUCCUCCUCAUAUAAGGCUCACAUGUGACCUGUGAGUAUGGGCUUUGAUUCUUUGUCUUACAUUUGUCCUUUCAUUUUAAUAAAUGAGUUUGGAGGCUAUGAUUUUGUGAGUUU